GAUGAACGCUGGCGGCGUGCCUAAUACGUGCAAGUCGAGCGAACGGACGAGAAGCUUGCUUUUCUGAUGUUAGCGGCGGACGGGUGAGUAACACGUGGAUAACCUACCUAUAAGACUGGGAUAACUUCGGGAAACCGGAGCUAAUACCGGAUAAUAUUUUGACCGCAUGGUUCAAAAGUGAAAGACGGUCUUGCUGUCACUUAUAGAUGGAUCCGCGCUGCAUUAGCUAGUUGGUAAGGUAACGGCUUACCAAGGCAACGAUGCAUAGCCGACCUGAGAGGGUGAUCGGCCACACUGGAACUGAGACACGGUCCAGACUCCUACGGGAGGCAGCAGUAGGGAAUCUUCCGCAAUGGGCGAAAGCCUGACGGAGCAACGCCGCGUGAGUGAUGAAGGUCUUCGGAUCGUAAAACUCUGUUAUUAGGGAAGAACAUAUGUGUAAGUAACUGUGCACAUCUUGACGGUACCUAAUCAGAAAGCCACGGCUAACUACGUG
rnacentral:rRNA from 1 species